CGCGGGACCGUUACAUGUGAGAGAGAAUCUGAGCUCUUAGCCGCCGGUGCAGCAUGGAAAGGAAAGUACUUGCACUUCAGGCGAGGAAGAAAAGGACCAAAACCAAGAAACCCUCCAAAAA